rnacentral:rRNA from 1 species
UGGAGAGUUUGAUCCUGGCUCAGGACGAACGCUGGCGGCGUGCUUAACACAUGCAAGUCGAGCGGUAAGGCCCUUCGGGGUACACGAGCGGCGAACGGGUGAGUAACACGUGGGUGAUCUGCCUCGCACUCUGGGAUAAGCCUGGGAAACUGGGUCUAAUACCGGAUAUGACCAAGGGUUGCAUGAUCUUUGGUGGAAAGAUUUAUCGGUGCGAGAUGGGCCCGCGGCCUAUCAGCUUGUUGGUGGGGUAACGGCCUACCAAGGCGACGACGGGUAGCCGGCCUGAGAGGGUGAUCGGCCACACUGGGACUGAGACACGGCCCAGACUCCUACGGGAGGCAGCAGUGGGGAAUAUUGCACAAUGGGCGGAAGCCUGAUGCAGCGACGCCGCGUGAGGGAUGACGGCCUUCGGGUUGUAAACCUCUUUCGACAGGGACGAAGCGCAAGUGACGGUACCUGUAGAAGAAGCACCGGCUAACUACGUGCCAGCAGCCGCGGUA